CGCGGAGAAAGGAGACACUUCCAGCACACAGGACAGCUCAGUACAGCCCACACCUCGCACAGACUACGAGAACUCACAACCAGCUCGCCGCCGUCGGGGCGGCCAGGCACCCGAGCAGCGCUUAGGCGAAAAUCCGCUGCAGAAAGGGGCCAAGUGCUCAUUAACGAAGCGGGGCCGGGAUCAGCUCCAGCGAAAUAACCACCGACCCGUCCCGCCGCCCGGUGCCCGCAUCCCCUGUCCGACCCCACAGCCGCAGCCCAAGGGCCCUCGCCCCGCCCCGCCCCGCCCGAGGCCGCCCCCCGCGCUCUGCACGGCCUCCCCCGGGCCCCGCCGCCCUCCCGAGGCGCCCGCGAGCUGCGAGGCCCGGCACCCCUCCGGCUCCUGGAGCGACCACUCACCUGAGCCAGGACGGUGAGGAACCCGCCCGUCCCCGGCCGCCCCCAGCUGCCGUAGCACACCGCCACCGAGCCUCCCCCGAGCAGGGCGGCGGCAGCGGCUAUCCUCCAGCCAGGCGGGUGCCUCUGACUCCGGGCGGGCCGCGGCCCGAGCAGCCGUCCCCUCAGCGGAGCUCGGGCACCCACCGCCAGCGCAGCUCUCCACGCCGCCAUCUUCCCGGAAACCGCCGACAUGGGGCGCAUGCGCGGCAGCGGGGCUAGCGGGGCUAGCAGGGCUAGCUGGGCUCUGUGGCCCCGGCGCGCCCAGCGGGAUGGGAGCUGCCCGCGGCGCGGGGCGAGCGGGCCUGGCGGAAUGGUAACAGAGGAGUAGCAGCAAAAGAGACAGCUUUAUUGACUCAGAGGACCUGAGGUCUGCCUCGAGCAUCCCACUUCGUAAGCAAUGAGAAGGUCCAGUAGGCUGUGGCAGCAGUGGAGGACUGAGGACCAGCAGAGCCUAUAGGCCAACUGCUGGAAACCAGGGACUGUCUAAGGUGUGAUCUUACCCCAGAUUUACUCAGAACAGCUGUCCAUUACACUUGAUAACAUCCUGGCACCCAAAAGAGCCAAGUACUUGUAUCAGACCUGAACAGAGGAAGUGGAAAGCAAGUCUGAAGGAUAAGUAUUGCAUUAUUAUAUUGAAUAAAAUGUAGGUUAGCAAUUAUUACAUAUUAAGUGGGAUCUGAAUUACUUAACACCCGUGCAAUCUAUUUUCUUCUCCAGAAACAGGGGACCACUUGGAAGGAUUGAGGUACCUCAACAAGAGCCAAGUAUUAUAUAAUCUGUGAAGGGUUUAUGACAGAGAUGGAAAUAAUUCUCAAAGACAAAAGCUAUUUAUAAGAUAUUUUCUGCAAAUAUUAUUGCACUGUUUGGAUGGUUUUCAGUUGAUCAUUAAUUACUUUUUUAGAGAGAAAAUUUCUGCUCUGUUGAUCUUUUGGGGUCUACAUUUGGCAUCCGAGGAUGUCUGUGUCUGUAUUGUGCUGCUGCUCAUCUAUCUGCUGAUAUUCAACUUACAUUUAAUUUUUUAAUUUUCUCAGCUGUUAUCUACUGAUUCUAAUUUGCUGUAACUUAUAUUUUGAAGAGACUACUGAAGUGAUUCAGGAACUAGCCUAAGUAAACUGUUUUCAGGUAUUUCACAUAGCUUUGAAAAGUCAUGGAGGAUAGAAGAGACAGCAGAAGACUGAAAAAGAAACAUGAUAACUCUUGGAAAAGCAGAUGGAAGAGUACCCAAGUAAUUUUAAUUAAGUAGCCUAACUAACUUCCUGGAUUUUGGAAAAAAAAUAACCAGUUUCUAAAUGCCUAGAACAUGAUAAGGCAAGAAAAACUUGCUGACAUUCCUCUCUCGACAACAUGUGAUACCAAACCAAAUGAAUAUCCUUUUUCUACAUAUGGCCUACUAGAUACAGAUGAAGCAGUAAAUAUUACUCCGUUCCCUGUUGAUACUUGUAAGUAACUAAAGAUGUACAUCCUAGACAAAAUCACUAGAAGGUGAGGAUAGAGGAGGACAACUGCUCAGCAAUACUACUUUUGAAAAGUAGCUGUGGGUUGCUGACAGUCAAUUUGAGAUGGCAUUUCAGGUAGGCUUUAGGAAUUUGGUGACUAUUUAAUGUGACAGGAUGAUUUUUAUUUUAUGCCAGGCUUUCUAUCUAAAUGGCAUAAAUAAAAAGGGCUGCAAUUCUAGGUCAUGUACAAACAGAAGUGACGCAGCUUGUUUCAGGUGAUUAAGUCCUGGGUCAAAGGACAAGAGUGCCACUCUUUGUGCUGUAGAUUGCUACUAGUUUCUUUCUGAGUCCUUUAAUGUGUCAUUAAAGUCCUCUGCCUGCCUUCUCCAGAGAGUCUCAGAGCUAAAACAUCGAUACUGUAAAAUAUACUACCCUGUUAUCAUACCGGUAAUAAUCCUAUGUGUUAAGCCUGAGAAUACAAACUAAGUGUAUAUUGUAAACUACAUAUUUUGUUCUGGUAAAUGAGAAAAAUUGCAAGAUGUUUACUUGCAAAAGGUGUUUUGCCUAGUUUCUCCAUACUUGAUGUUAAUCUGCCCUUGACAGCUAUUAAAGUAGAAAUUACUGCCACUGUAUUGCACAAAAGCAGAGAUUCUGCAAUUGUGAUUUUAAUGUAGUUUGGAACACUUUGUAGUCUUCAGAGUCAGACACAUUUUCCCCAUCGCCCAAAUUAUUUUAAAUUGCAAGUAAAGUUUUGCAAAGCUGUUACCAUUAUUUUCUCAGUUCACCUAAGCUGUUUUUACAAGACAUGUUAUCUAAGCGAAAUCACAACAUCUUUUAUUAAAGUAGUUAUAAGAGCAUUGAAACUGUCAGCUGUAAUUUGCAGCUUUUUCUCCUUUAGAUUCUGCACUAUUGCUGAAAAAAAAAAAAACCAAAACCAAAACCCACAGAAAACAAACCCCAGUAACCUAAGUUACAAUCCUUUUUUUUUUUAAUAUAUAUUUGCCCAGUGUGAAUUUUAGAGAAGAUACCUGUAAAAGUUUAUUUGAAGAGGAAAGAGCAGAACUGCCAAUGGGCAGCCUGAAAAAUGUCUGAUGAUGCUGUGGUCAAGAGCGUCACACCUAUGGGAUAAAGAGGAUAUUUUGUUGUCUUUGCAUCUUCUACAUGUAAGAGUGCAUUUAAGCUGAAGUGAAGGCCAGAACCUGAGCCCAGAACUACAGUCAAGGAGAAAGCAUCUUCUUUUUAGAUUUUUCUAUGACUUAGCCUGCAGUUCUGCCUACAAAUCUCCAAAUCACUGCUAGAGAAGCAGAUGCAGUUGUUUAUGUGCAGGUGUGCUGCAUACCUGAUGUAAUCCUGCAAGUUCUACAUCCACAGAACUUCUGCAGAAUUCUGAGUGAGGUCUGUGCUUGGAAGGCUUCCACAUCCAGGUUCUCACAUCAGGAAAACCUCAAUCAAAGCCCUCAAUCAAAGUUCAAAAGCAAACAAACAAGCGGUCUUUCCUUAUUGCUGACAUUAAUCUUAUCUGAGUCUCAGUCCCCCAGACCUCUCUCCUAUGAGUUACCUAGGUCUGUGACACAGACCAUAUUUUGUUUUCAGAUGCUAAUGUAGCUUUUACUUCAUGAUCACAUUAAUUGCAUUUGUGCGGUGGAGAUUUUUAAUCCCAAAAGGUGCUGCCAGCUUUUGUGUACUCAAUUUAUGCUUAAGAGGAGUUUCUGCACUUCACAGUGACCUCUGCUGACUUUCAUAUAUUUAAAUUCUGAAGUUGUGAAUCUCCUUGAUUCAUCUUCUGUUAAAGCAUGUCUGCUAUGCAAAAACUGGCAGGGGGGUUAAGGAGGAUGAAAAAAGCGGUAUUACAGAGAACCAGGAUAUGGCAUGGUAUUUGUUCCUUGAAGGCAUGUUGCCACCAAGAAUAACACCAAGAAUAAUGAUCACACAAAGAGAAAAAAAGAGUGCUGGAGAUCUAUGAAAUUUACUUGAUUUUGAAAAGCUUAGUUGAAGAAAGACCUAGAGGUCUGACAAUGCCUACUGAGCUCCUUAAAUGCAGCGGGUUGGCACUCUGUGGAUGUGGCAUAUCAUCUGUUGGACAGAGUAAGUCAGCCAUUCUCCUGGCUCUGCUCUAGCUAUGCACAGCUGGGAAUUUCACAUCAGGAAAGGGAGGAGGAUACACAAACUCCUGAUAUUUCAGAAGAUGUGCAUGCUAAAAUGCAAAGCCCUGGGUGCUGGAGGUAGCUGUGAUGAGUUUAUGGCGCAGGAGCCACAGCUGGUAGGAAGAUACAUGAUCUCACCCGAAAAUGCUGUGUUAUUUUAGUCUCUCUUUUACACACAUAGAAGAAUCAAACAGUUUGAGGAUGAGAGAUUUGAGAAGCAAAAUGGAAGAGAUCAGAUUGUUACACAAGAAGAACUAAGGGAGCUUUUAGUAGAUGAGUAGGAACAAGAUGAAAUGCUGUAAUACCCAGUGCAAGGUCAGUGGGUAUUAUUAAAGGCAAAACACUGGAAUUUCUGCUCUAGACGCUUGGUGAUUAAGGACUCCAUACAUGAACAAGUAGUUCUUGCUCCAGUCAUCAAACAGCCACACCAAAGAAUGAGUAAGAUGAAAGGCAAGGCUGCUGUGGAAUGUGGAGCUGAUGAGAUAGCCGCAUGCUGAGAACACGUUGGAGGUGAAAUCGAUGAGUGAAUUCAGUUGAUUGCACCUUCUGUAAAAUGUAAAGAAGCAGAGAAGAGUAAGAAGUUUUCAAUGAUUCUAAGAAAUCAGAGCAAAAAAAGACAAAACAAAAUCCCAAAACAACCUGAGAGACUGCUUCCAUGACACUGCAGUCUUAUGGGUUACGCUGUCAGCAAAAAGACUGUGAGUUUUCUGUAGACUCAGCAAGAAUGGCCAUGCGGCAGCAGUUAGCACUGUGUGCAAUGCUGGAAGUGAUAGGAACCAACUGGAGCAGUGACUGGAAGCAGAAGUCUUCAGAAGAGCAUCAGCAUUCUGUGAUGUGAGGAAAAUGCUGUCCUGCCCCUUUAUACUGGUGGUGUGUUUAGUGGACUGGGACAAAUAUCUCUCAUUAGAUGGGAAUUCUGAGUUUUUCCUUUCUUUUGUUUCAAUAACAUGAAUACUGGAGAAGGAAAGUAGGCUGCUCUGCAUCUGAAAGGGAAAGCAGUGAAGUCUGUGAUCUCUGUUUGCUUAAAUGCUAAACAGAAAGAAAGAAGAAAGAAGGAAAGAAGGGAAGAAGAAGAGAGAGAGAAAAGCCAUUUUAGAGCUUCCUACUUCAGAGCUUCCUUUUCUAAGGACCAGUCUUGAAAGAAGUUACUUGCAAGAUCAGACUGGAAGACCAGGUGCAGGCAGAAUUUGGUAGGAAAUGAAUACUUUGUCUUGUGGUGUAUUAUUGCAUACAGUCUUGGUGUUGUCUUGUUGCCUGCACCAGCUUCCCUCCUCAGUUUACUUCAUAAUUAUUAUGUGAAUAAAAAUGUGCCAUGAAUAAAAAAAGUACAGUGUUUAUCUGCUUCUCUGUAACCUGGCAGGACUACCCAAAUACCCUAAUGCAUACAUCAUAGCUGUGUAUCCUAUGACAUAGGAAACCUUCAGUGAUUUAGACUUGGUUGACAUUCUUUUCAGAAGUGCUAAGAAGGCACGAAGUGAAGUAAAGCAAGUAUUUGAGAUUUUCACGUGACAAAAAUGCCACAGAUUAAUGAAAGUGUACGACCACUGUAGGAGGGUGAGGGCAGGAAUUUAAGACAGUGGUGGUAGCUUAAUGUCGGGCACCAAAACCUUCAUCCUAAGUGAAGUAAGUAAAUAAUUAAAGAUACUGAGGGAAUCUUAAUGGAUCUAGUUUUCCAUAUGCACUUUCUGAAAAGUGCUCACUUUCUGAGCACUCACAUGAGGCAUCUUCAGAAAUUUUUAACUUAAUUGCCCAAAAUGAGACACCUAAGAGCCAUUUUGAGAACCUUAGCUUUUCAAUCUUAAUUUUGUCCUUGUUCUUUGAAUAUUUGUCAUUGGCCUUACAGAACACAAGAUUUCAAAUAAUUUCAGUCAUGGAAAUGGUUUGACUCUCUUUCCUGAACAGAGACACUGCAUGUAAAAUACCCCUAUAAAUGAUCAAUACUAUCCAAGCGUAUUACCAGAAUCCUGCUAUUUUUCAAGCAUGGCAUUUGUACGUGUCUUCUAGAUUUAUUUUUACCUUUCAAAAAUGCUGAGAAAUAAGCUUAAUUUCCACUGUUAAAUUAAAAGACAUCCUGAAUAAAAGCUUCUCAUUUUAAUAGCUUUGGAAUGCAAUAACUUUGAAGUAGUGGAUGGGCUCUGCAUUAUGUAGACUUUGCUAACACUCAGGGGAAAUUGCAAAGAUAAUAAUAGCUACAAGAUUCGCUGUUGUUGUCUGAAUACCAUACAAAGAUAUUUAAAAUGACUAGACAAGAAAUUAGGAAAGCGGCAUAUGACUCAAAUUAUAACUGAAAUAUGGAGACUACUGGACCAAAAUCUGCAUGAGGGAAAAAUUUACUGAUGGUGAAAUCUACAGAAAGAAAUAUUCAAGAAUAUUUAUGAAGGACUCGGUUCUCACACUUCUGCAGCUGAGUACAGUUUUCCAUCAUUAUGGAAGCUGCAGCCAAAAAUGGCUCACAGAUUCUGAGGUUUUACAACGAUGAACUGUGAAGAGGGUUUUUUCUUUUUUUUUUUCUUUUUUUUUUUUUUUAACCUGGAGAAAUAAAGGACCCAAAUGUGCUUACCCUCUGUUCACAUCAGUUGUCAGAGCUCCAGCAAUGGCAUGGUGCUCUGCCAAGUUACCUAAGCGAAGAAUCUAAUCCAGAGUAUUUUGGAGGAACGGGGUUUGCAAUGUGGCUGCUGGAAGACACAACCAAAAAAGACAUUCCCUGAACAAGGGAGCAAACUUACAGGCUCUGUAUCUGAGCACUCAGCAGAACCAGAUUCCCAGAUACAGAGCUGGAACAACCCGAUGAUUACAGGAAUAAGAGGUAUGAAUUCCGGGGAGUUCAAGCAAAUUUUUUUUGCUUGUUCAUAUCAAGACUUUUACAAAUAGCAUAACUUGAGGCUUGGCAAGAUAAUUUUCCUUCAGUUUUGCCACGUGUUUCUUUAGAAGCCUGGCCCCCACUAAAAAAAGCAGGAUACCUAAUACAAGAGGUCUGCCCGAUGUCUCAACAUUUACACGCAUAGUUCUGUUGGCUGCAGUACUACUGCAGUAAGGGCAGGAGUCAGAGCCAAUUUGUCAGUAUCUGCAGAAGAAGUGAGUUCUCAGUGCAUGGCUGUGCUAUAAAUCCACUCCCUGAGAAUGGUUAAUUGCAGUUCUCUUCCUCAAACCUAGAGCAGUGUUUAAAGUGGAGGAAGCAGAGGAACCUCCUGAAUGAAUUCUACCCCAACUGCCUGUCAGUGUUUUUACUGCGAUAUCUAGAGAAAGCAAAGCUGUUCAGACAGCAUCUAUUUCUGGUGUGAAUUCCUACGGCUGCUAUGUUUUUCAGACCCUCUGACAAAUUUCUAAGCUCCCUUGGAAUAACAGCUGCUGGGGGGGACUGGAAUCCCCAUGGUGGAUUUCAGGUUCACAGACAUUGACAAAAGCUCUGAAAAAUGGAACGGGAAAGCUUUGCUUUAUCAAGGGCAGCUAUGAAAGCAGGGAGAUUUUUUUCUGAGAAAUGAAGGACAGGAUGUGGAUUCCCACUCUGAAUUUUGAGGGCUGGAGGCAGAGACACAGAGACAUUUUCCUCUUCAGCUCCUCCAUGGGGAAGUAUACCCUCUGAGGAGAAACAGUCUGACAUUCAGAAGUGUGUUGGUGACCCUUGUGAGAACAGCGCAUUGGCAACUAGAUGGGAGGGAGAGUCACAUCUGGGGAUGUGCAGCAGCUUAGAACCACUGCUCUGUUCUUUUCCUUAAAGUCAGUUUUUCACGCAGUAAAAAACCUGAAGAGACCACUAUUAAGAUCGAGAACAACUCAAACUCACCAGCAUUUCCAACUCUUCACCAGCACCUGGGAUGAUACUGAAAAUACUUUUGGAGGCACACAGUGACACGUGAAAAGAUGAAACAGAUGGCGAUUUAUAUAAUGCAGUCCAUCUUCUCUCCCUUCACCACCUUCAGGGUACGCUAUCAGUGUAAGACAGCGAAUACCACCAAACACAGAAAGUCUACCCAGUGUCAUUAAAUUGCCUGUGAUGUUGCUGCUGAGGAUCAGCACUCGACUGUGUUAUUGUCUUGACCGCCACUGAAUUUUCUGCUAGGAUCAAACAAGCAUUUUUGGUUGCACACAGCAUUAGCAUGGUUAGUCAGUCAAUCAGGACUUGAGGUAAACUUUUGAUAUGGUUAAAACUGUGUUUUGUGUUCACCAGAGCUAUAUCAUGGUCAACACUUGGAUACUUCUUUGGUGCACGAGUAGAUCCGUCAUGUGAAAUGUCCACUACUCUCUGUAUCAAUGAUGAUGCUCACACUGAAAGUAGUUUUUAAGCAAUUGAUUGGUUCCACUAAAUAUUUGACACACGAUACACACAACCAGUUCCUAACAGUGAGCAAACAAAACCAUGUCCC
rnacentral:lncRNA from 1 species